rnacentral:lncRNA from 1 species
AGCGCCUCGGGGCCAGUGUGGCCCGGAAUGGCAGAUGCAAAUCCAGGAAGGCCAUUCACGACGUUGUCACAGAAGAAGUGGAGGUCAGUACCACUGCCAUCAUGACUGCAAGCAGAGCAAAUGGACAGAGCUCGCAGAGUGGCCCCAGAGCCUGCCUGGGCCCCCUUCUCACUGCUCCUCCACUCCCUGGUCUGCUGAGAGC